rnacentral:rRNA from 1 species
UACGUAGGGUACAAGCGUUAAUCGGAAUUACUGGGCGUAAAGUGUGCGCAGGCGGCAGAGCAAGUCGAGUGUGAAAGCCCCGAGCUUAACUUGGGAAUUGCGCUCGAAACUACUUUGCUGGAGUGUGGCAGAGGAAGGUGGAAUUCCAGGUGUAGCGGUGAAAUGCGUAGAGAUCUGGAGGAACACCGAUGGCGAAGGCAGCCUUCUGGGCCAACACUGACGCUCAUGCACGAAAGCGUGGGGAGCAAACAGG